rfam:Dipodomys ordii contig_7533, whole genome shotgun sequence.
GGAGGUGUAGCUCAGUGGUAGAGCAACUACUUAAUCUGCAGAAGGUCCUAGAUUUAAUUCCCAACACCACCA